rnacentral:rRNA from 1 species
GUAGAACGCUGAAGCUUGGUGCUUGCACCGAGCGGAUGAGUUGCGAACGGGUGAGUAACGCGUAGGUAACCUGCCUCUUAGCGGGGGAUAACUAUUGGAAACGAUAGCUAAUACCGCAUAAAAGACGAUAUCGCAUGAUGUUGAUUUGAAAGGUGCAAUUGCAUCACUAAGAGAUGGACCUGCGUUGUAUUAGCUAGUUGGUGAGGUAACGGCUCACCAAGGCGACGAUACAUAGCCGACCUGAGAGGGUGAUCGGCCACACUGGGACUGAGACACGGCCCAGACUCCUACGGGAGGCAGCAGUAGGGAAUCUUCGGCAAUGGGGGCAACCCUGACCGAGCAACGCCGUGUGAGUGAAGAAGGUUUUCGGAUCGUAAAGCUCUGUUGUAAGAGAAGAACGAGUGUGAGAGUGGAAAGUUCACACUGUGACGGUAACUUACCAGAAAGGGACGGCUAACUACGUGCCAGCAGCCGCGGUAAUACGUAGGUCCCGAGCGUUAUCCGGAUUUAUUGGGCGUAAAGCGAGCGCAGGCGGUUAGAUAAGUCUGAAGUUAAAGGCUGUGGCUUAACCAUAGCACGCUUUGGAAACUGUUUAACUUGAGUGCAGAAGGGGAGAGUGGAAUUCCAUGUGUAGCGGUGAAAUGCGUAGAUAUAUGGAGGAACACCGGUGGCGAAAGCGGCUCUCUGGUCUGUAACUGACGCUGAGGCUCGAAAGCGUGGGGAG